rnacentral:lncRNA from 1 species
UGGGUACUCAUCUAACCCGCAUAAAUCUUGAUCUCAAACAUGCAAUGUGUUCACAUUUGGGGAUACUGUCAUAUCUUGGAGAUAUACAAAGCAGUCUAUCAUAGUUAUCUCAUCGAACCAUGCGAGAUUAUAGCUAUUCAUGAAGCAAACCGACAGUGUGUGUGGUUGAGGUCCACGAUACAUUUCAUUCCUGAAAAAUAUGAUAAAGUUCCCAUGAUUUUUAUAAAGAAAAUGCAUCAUGCAUAACACAACUCAAUGGAGGAUUCAUAAAAGGAGAUAGAAUGAAACAUAUUUCAUCAAAGCUUUUCUAUACACGUGAUCUCCAAAAGAAUGGUGAUAUUAACAUGCAACAUAUUUGUUCAAGUGACAAGGUAGCUGAUUUAUUCACCAAGUCUUCUUCAACUGCAACUUUCAAGAAGAUCGGGAUGCUAAGGUUCAAGGAUGUUCUCAUCAGGGGGAGUUAAUACGUGUUGUACUCUUUUUCCCUUACGAGGUUUUGUCCCAAAAAGUUUUUCUUGUAAGGGUUUUAAUGAGGCAGCCGAAAUGCGUAUUAUUAGAGAUGUGUACUCUUUUUCCUACACUAGAUUUUUUUCCUACUGGGUUUUUCUAGUAAGAUUUUAACGAGGCACAUUAUCUAUUUAGACAUUCAAGGGGGAGUGUUAUAAAUGUAUUUACAUUAUAUUGAAUUUUUAUCAAGAUCUAUCAAGAUACUCAGACUAGGAGUAAAUUUCUCCUAUAAAUAGAAGGGUUCCUUCAUUGUAAAUUACACAUCAAGAUCCUCAAGAGAAAUAAGAAUUACUCUCUAUUCUCUCUCUACUCUUCUUCUUUGUUCUUUAUUAUUUUAUAACACGUUAUCAGCACGAGACUCUGUCAAACAAGCACGAGACUCUGCCAAACAAGGUGAGAUUAUAAAUCUGAAGGAUUUCAAGGUUAGUAAUUCUUUAUGUUAUCUUUCUUUUGCUACUACUAAUAUAAUUAUUAUUGUUAGUAAUUCUUUAUGUUAUCUUUCUUUUGCUACUACUAAUAUAAUUAUUAUUGAAUUUAAGGAAAAAGAAUUGAUUUGGAACCAUUUAUAUUUUAAAUUUAUUCAUCAAGAACAAUAUUAUCAAAAAGGAUGAUAAUAUGUUGGGUUCAAAUCCCAUCGAUCCAUGCCUAAAACGUUUUUAUACACCAUGUUGAUGAUAUUAUGAUGGCUAAGACAAAAUAAUGGGUGUUUAAUGAAAAGUCACGAAAUUCGAUCCAUUGAAAAUGCUCCAUUCCAUGAAGUGAAUGUGGUAGCAAUAUAUGAUAAGUCUGAAAUAUGACAACUUACUUCAUUCUUGAGGUGUAUGUGAUAGCAGUGCAUAAUAUGUCUGAAAGAAGACAAGUGAUUGAAUGCACGAAUAUACGCGUGGAGGGACAAUAUGAUAAUGAUCAUAAAAAAUGGUGAUAUUUUCACACGCAUAUAUGAUUAUAAGAUAUACUAGAGAAAAAUUUUCUACAUCAUAUGUAUGCCUCGAUUCGUUUCUGAAGUAGCAAAAUCUUGAAAGGGUUAUAAACUAUCAUAAUUUGAGAGACUUAAGACACGAUUAUAUUCCAUUCCUGGGGAAUGCGAAGAUUAUUAAUGCAAACGUGCACUUGAUUGUGAUUGUAUCGCAACUCAUCUCCGAAAGAGGUUGAAUAAUUUUGAAAUCUACUUCAGAAGUAGUAAAUCUAAAAUUUAUUCAUAUAAUAGUAAAUCUGAAAUUUAUUAAAGCAAAAACACAUAUCAUGGUAAACUUGGAGUUUACUAGAUUAAAAGUUCAUAAGUUGACAUGAACGAUUGUGAUAUCUCGAAGAUGUGCAUACUGAGUAUUGAACAUAUAUUGAAGAAUUAGAAAAUUCUUCAUGAACUUUAAUGUUGCUUGUUCUCAUGAUAAGUUGGUUGGACCAACUAAUUUUAGGAUUGGAUCUCUCAAAAUCUGAAAAGAAUAAAAGGUGAAUAAGGACCCUUCACCUAUCAUGUGAUAUAUUAAAAAGAUGCAUCAAUAAGAUGAUCACAUGUACAUUAAUGGUCAACCUACGUUUGACAUUAAUAAAGUUACUUGUUCUAUAUAAAUUGAGCAUAAUUUUCAGAUUGUGUAAUCAAGAUAAUUCAUCUUGAUGAUGAUGGUUUAGCAUUGAAUGCCUUCCAUAAAUAGUUAAACCAUUACUAAUGAGAACAAAGUUCAUGUAUUGAUAUGAAAUAUGAUAUAUUGCAUACAAUAGCACUUGUAUGCAUUAGAUCAAUAUAUUAUAAUUAUUUCUUUCCUCUCAAUUGGUUUAAGGUCAGGAAUCAACUAUUCCAUCUAAUAGUUUUGAUGUGCGAUAUACGAUUAAUAAAUAUAUUAUGAUGUACAAAGAUGGAUUCCUCAAAGAAGAUGGAGGAUGUAUGUUAAUUUUCCUAAUAUAAGAGGGAGAUUAUAAGCAGCUAUGAAAUAUGUUAGAAAUUAUCAUCAGAUCCUCAUUCAAAAGACAAUUCAAGUCAAUUGCCGAAAGUAUCUCAUAUUUAGCUGCAAGUGCUCCUAUUUUGUGUCCUUAAAGGAUAAAGUCUAUGCAUGCGUGAAUCAAGAUAGACCAAUCGAUUCCAAAUGAAACAAGGAGCAAAUAAUCAUAAUAAGAAGACAAUGUGAUCUUGAAAAGCCUACGACAUAACACUUCAUGAAACCUUAUGAGAGGUUUAGGUACCUGAAAAUAAUGAAGUGAUGAGAUCUCAAAAUGUUAUGUCGCAUUGUGAACCGAUACUAAAUGAUAUAUCAUCAAUAUCUUUGACACAAUAUUGACGCAAUAUUGUGAAAGAUUACGAGGAUCUUAAUUCUACGUUAAUUUAAGCAUGCUGACGUAGAAAUAUUUAUCAAGUGAAAUGAAAGGAUGAAUCUUGGUAAGUGUAAAACUUAUUUGAUUUGCAGUCCAGACACUUGAAGAUGUCACAUAUGAUAUGUUGAAUAUUGACACUUGACAAAAUUCAUAUGAAACUUUCUAAGGAUUCAAAAUGUUUGAAGCAUAUAAAAGUUUCUGGGAAACUAAUUUAGAAUCCUUAUAUUGUAUAAGCUUAUAACUUGAAAAUCAUUAAAACUCUUGGAGAGUUUUCAAAAGCAAUAAGAUUAUUUGCUGAAAUGCGAAACAAACCGAAUUGGAUUGGUCCUAAAGUAUCAUAUCUUAAUCCAAUUGGUGUACUAAUGUAUCUUGCAAAUACUACAAGGCCUGAUAUAACCUUUUAAGUUAAUUUGCUAUCAAGGUAUAUUUUUGCUCCUACUAUGAGACAUCAAAAUGGGAUAAAACACAUGAGCUUAUUUUAUUCUAAAGCUUGCAGUCCCGAUCUUAUUGGUCAUGCUGAUGUUGGGUACUUAUUUGACCGGCUUAAAACUCGAUCUCAAAUAGGCUAUGUGUUCAUAUGUGGUGGUGCUGCCAUAUCUUGGAGAUAUACAAAGCAGUCUAUCAUAGUCACUUCAUCGAAUCAUGCUGAGAUAAUAGCUAUUCAUGAAGCAAGUCGAGAAUGUGUAAGGUUGAGGUCCAUGAUACAUCUCAUUCGAGAAAAAUAUAGUGCGAAAUAUGACAAUCUACCUAAAAUUUUAUACAGAGAUAAUUCAGCAUACAUAGCAUAUUUUAAGGGAAUAUUCAUAAAUGGAGAUAGAAUGAAGCAUAUUUUGCCAAAGCUUUUCUACAUACAUGAGCUACAAUAGAAUGAUGAUAUUAACGCGCAACAGAUUCGUUCAACUGACAAUGUGGCUGAUUUAUUCACAAAAUCUUCUCCAAUUGCAACUUUCAAGAAGAUGUUGCACAAGAUCGAGAUGCAAAGGUCAGGGAUGUUCUCAUUAGGGGAAGUUAAUACGCGCUGUACUCAUUUUUCCUUACGGGGUUUUGUCCCACUGGGUUUUCCUUGUAAGAUUUUUAAUGAGGUAGCCGAAAUACGUAUUAUUAGAGAUGUGUACUCUUUUUCCUUCACUAGAUUUUUUUUCCUACUGGGUUUUUCUAGUAAGGUUUUAACGAGGUACAUUAUCUACCAAUUAGACAAUCAAGGGGGAGUGUUAUAAAUGUAUUUACAUUAUAGUGAAUGUUGUCUAUCAAGAUCUACUUUGAUAUCUAUUAGAAUUUGAAGCAUCCGUCUUUUACUCAGACUUGGAGUAAAUUUUUCUUAUAAAUAGAGAGGUUUUAUUCAUUGUAUACACAAUCUUAUUAUCUCUCAUCCUUCAAGAGAAAAAAUAAGAAUCUCUCUAUUCUCUCUACUCUUCUUCUUUUUUGUUUUAUAACACUUACAUUUUAUUUAUUUUUUAAAUUUUAAUUUCUUUCAAUCUUAUUUCUAUUAUUUUUUUUUCAUUAUUUAUCUUUCAUCCUUUUUUCUUCUCAUUUUCCAACAUUAAUUCUUAUGAUUCAAUAUAAUUACUCGUAUUUUUGUCUUCAUUUAGCGCACUAUUACAUUUUUAUUUUAGUGUUUGAAUUAAAGUAGUACUCUCUCCAUUUCGAAAUAAGUGAAUUGUUGGGGUAUUUAUUGGUGUUUUCAAAUAAGUAAAUCGUUGAAUUUUUUUUCAAAUUUACCCUUAUGAUUUGACAACCAAUUAACUUUUAAAAAGGUAUUACAAGAUCAGUUUUUUUUUUUUUGGGUAAAAAUGAAAAGUUAUGUUAAAUUUAUGUCUUUAAUGCUUUUUCCUUAAUCUAUGUGCCAAAAUCUAUCAAUUCAUUUAUUAUGAAACAGAGGGAGUAUUUCAUUAUUGAAUAAGAUAACUUGGUGUUUUCCCUUUCUUUUGAAUUAUUUACUCGUUGAAAUUUUAUAUAAGAGUAUUGUGUUUUUUUCUUGGAUUUUGAAUUUGUGUUUUGUUUUAUGUUUCAAUUUAUAUGUUUUAGUACUAUAGACUUGUUAUUUUAUAUUGCAUGUCGCUUCAAAUUGUCGAGUUAAUUUCUCAAAUUGCCAUUGAACUUGUGCAAACAUCCUGCUAAAGUAACUUUUGUUAAUUUCUUUUAGGAAAAUAUUAUCAUUAAAUUAUGUACAUCUUUCCAAAAUAAGGUGAAACUAAAAAAUAGUUGAGGACAUGUUUGGAACGCCACAGAAAAUUGAAAUUAUAUGUUAUUAGACAAUUUGAAGUGAUAUUGUGACACAUGAAAUAACAAAUCUAUACUAAAACAAAUAAAUUGAAACAUAAAACAAAACAUAAAUUAAAAAUUCAAGAGAAAAACAUAAUACUCUUAUAUAAAAUUCUGAUGAGUAAAUAUAAUUCAAAAGAAAGAAAACGCAUGAGUCUAUAAUCUCAUUCAAUAAUAAAAUACCACUUUAAUUCAAAUAAUAGGAUAAAAAUUAUAAAAAUACAAUAAUGCGCUAAAUAAAGAAAAAAAUACGAGUAAACGAAAGAUAAAUAUGUAAAAUGAAAAUAGUAAAAAUAAAAAAGAAAUUAAAGUGAUAGAAAUAAAUUUAAAAGAAAAAGAUAUUAAAAUUUUUUUUUAAAAAGAAAUAAAAUGUAAUCUUGUAAUAUCACGUAAUUGCACCUAAUUCUCAAUCCCUAAUUCAGAACGUAAUUGAACCUAAUUCUCAAUCCCUAAUUCAGAAUUGGACUGUGUAAUUAUGAUUCUCCAAACAUAUCCUUAACAAUUUCUUAGUUUCACCUUAUAUUGGAAUCAGUGCCAAUAUUAUCCUAAAAGUUACUUUAGAGAAUUAACUCUAACUUGUCACGAAGUAAGACAAACUACGACUUUCUUACUUGUAAAGCUCAAGUUCUAUGAAGUAAGAAAAAUUUAAAAUUUGAACAAUGAUAGUCCCUUAAAACAUAAUCACACGACUCGGCUUUUGGGUCAACAACUUGAAAGAUUGGGCAGCCCCUUAGUGACGUACAAAACAAAACUAAGUGGCUCAUGUACAACAAUGAUUCGAACGAGCGACAUAUAUUGAAAUCAUAUAAACUUAAAACAAACCCAUUUUUGAUUCGCAGGUAGUCAACAAUAAUACCGAAACGAGAUAAGCAACACAUACACAUACACAUAUAUACCUAUAAUGCAAGAAAACAUCAAUCUGUUUUGCUUCCAACUGACCCCAAAUCCAAACAAAAAUCGAUGAAAAACGAUCAGCGACACCACACCGAAUCAGGUUGAAAACUGAAUGAGAUGAUUGAUUCCUACCUUGUUUUGGGCAGCGAACCGGCCAACUCAAACUUCAAAAAGAAUGGAAACUUGCAAUUUUUGGUUUUUCUCACUCGUUGAUUCUUCCUGCUUUUCUCACGAUUUUUGCCCUUUAUCACAAAAAUUGCUUGCCUCUUUUCCGCCUUAUCACGGAUUGAAAAUCCCUUUUACUACUGCUCUUUUUUUAAUCAGUUUCCCAAGCCUGAGAAUAAUUUCCCUUUUGACUUGUUAAUGCUCCAUUUUCACUCGAAUUUUCGGGUCCUCCACCCCCCAAAUGAGAAAGACGAGGCCACCUUUUAUACGUGCAAAUCCGGACUUCAAGGUCCGAAUUUGAAAAUCAAAAAUCAAAAAUCAAAAAUCAAAAAUAAAAAAAAAAUAGAAAGAUUUUGAAAUUUGAAUCAUAAAUCUCCUUCAAAUCAAAGACCCAUAACACCUUUUGGGGUCUGUUCAGUUCUAAUUUCCGAUUCAUGGGCUGACAACGAAGAAAAAUGGAGAGAGUGCUAUAGGGGUGGCAGGUGGUGUUCAGCUAGGGCUGAAAACGAGCGGCUAGGGUUCUUGUUUGGCGGUGAAGAGGAGAAAGGGGAGAGAAGGUCACUGUUUGAGAUACAUUGAUGGAGAUGCGACAUCGGCCCUUUGGGUUAGGGCUGUCAUGUGGGCCGGACCGGUCCAGGUCCGGAUUGAGUCUAAAUGGCCCGGACUGAUCAUCAGUAAAAAAAUUAAAAAUAAUCCUGACCCGAUUCACUUAACCUAAUCAGAGCAAAUCUAUCUAAACUCGAUCAAAUUAGGUUAAAAAAUUAGUCAAAUUCAGUCAAAAAUAUAAUAUUUUUUUUCAAUAUACA